rnacentral:rRNA from 1 species
AUUGAACGCUGGCGGCAGGCCUAACACAUGCAAGUCGAACGAGCGGCGGACUGGUGGGUAAUGUAUGGGCACCUGGCUGAUAGAGGGGGAUAACUACUGGAAACGGUGGCUAAUACCGCUUACGAUCGUUUGAGCCCUGAGGGGAUUAGCUAGUAGGUGGGGUAAAGGCUCACAUAGAGGACGCUCCCUAGCUGGUCUGAGAGGAUGAUCAGCCACAAUGGGACUGAGACACGGCCCAGACUCCUACGGGAGGCAGCAGUGGGGAAUAUUGGACAAUGGGCGAAAGUCUGAUGCAGCAAUGCCGCGUGUAUGAAGAAGGUUUUCGGGUUGUAAAGUACUGUCAGCGGGGAGGCGUUACCCGAAGAAGAAGCACCGGCUAACUCCGUGCCAGCAGACGCGGUAAUAC